ensembl:lncRNA
GUAAGGUCUACCUACACCUGUUGUAUUCAGCAUUUCACCGUAAGGUCUACUACACCUGUUGUAUUCAGCAUUUCACUGUUAGGUCUACACCUGUUGUAUUCAGCAUUUCACUGUAAGGUCUACUACACCUGUUGUAUUCAUCAUUUCCCUGUCAGGUCUACCUACACCUGUUGUAUUCAGCAUUUCACUGUAAGGUCUACCUACACCUGUUGUAUUCAGCAUUUCACUGUAAGGUCUACCUACACCUGUUGUAUUCAGCAUUUCACUGUAAGGUCUACCUACACCUGUUGUAUUCAGCAUUUCACUGUAAGGUCUACUACACCUGUUGUAUUCAGCAUUUCACUGUGAGGUCUACCUACACCUGUUGU